rnacentral:rRNA from 1 species
AUUGAACGCUGGCGGCAUGCCUUACACAUGCAAGUCGAACGGUAACAGGUCUUCGGAUGCUGACGAGUGGCGAACGGGUGAGCAAUACAUCGGAACGUGCCUAGUAGUGGGGGAUAACUACUCGAAAGAGUGGCUAAUACCGCAUGAGAUCUACGGAUGAAAGCAGGGGAUCGCAAGACCUUGCGCUACUAGAGCGGCCGAUGGCAGAUUAGGUAGUUGGUGGGAUAAAAGCUUACCAAGCCGACGAUCUGUAGCUGGUCUGAGAGGACGAUCAGCCACACUGGGACUGAGACACGGCCCAGACUCCUACGGGAGGCAGCAGUGGGGAAUUUUGGACAAUGGGCGAAAGCCUGAUCCAGCAAUGCCGCGUGCAGGAUGAAGGCCUUCGGGUUGUAAACUGCUUUUGUACGGAACGAAAAGCCUCGGGUUAAUACCCUGGGGUCAUGACGGUACCGUAAGAAUAAGCACCGGCUAACUACGUGCCAGCCGCCGCAGUAA